rnacentral:rRNA from 1 species
GACGAACGCUGGCGGCGUGCUUAACACAUGCAAGUCGAACGGAAAGGCCCUGCUUUUGUGGGGUGCUCGAGUGGCAAACGGGUGAGUAACACGUGAGUAACCUGCCCUUGACUUUGGGAUAACUUCAGGAAACUGGGGCUAAUACCGGAUAGGAGCUCCUGCUGCAUGGUGGGGGUUGGAAAGUUUCGGCGGUUGGGGAUGGACUCGCGGCUUAUCAGCUUGUUGGUGGGGUAGUGGCUUACCAAGGCUUUGACGGGUAGCCGGCCUGAGAGGGUGACCGGCGACAUUGGGACUGAGAUACGGCGCAGACGCGUACGGGAGGCAGCAGUGGGGAAUAUUGCACAAUGGGCGGGAGCCUGAUGCAGCGACGCCGCGUGCGGGAUGACGGCCUUCGGGUUGUAAACAGAUGUCGCCUGUGCCGAAGAGUGAGUGACGGUAAUGGGUAAAGAAGCACCGGCUAACUACGUG